rnacentral:miRNA from 2 species
UUGUUUUGCAUUGUAUAGGUA